UCUGGUUGAUCCUGCCUGAACUGAUGUGUUCAUUUCAAAGAUUAAGCCAUGCAUGUAUAAGUUUAAUCGUUUUAACGAGAAACUGCGAACGGCUCAUUACAAUGGCCAUGAUUUACUUGAUCUUGAUUAUCUAAAUGGAUAACUGUGGAAAAGCUAGAGCUAAUACAUGCACCAAAGCUUUGUCCUCUCGGAAAAGCGCAUUUAUUAGAACAAAACCACGCGGCUUCGGCUGCUUCUUGUUGACUCAGAAUAACUAAGCUGACCGCAUGGCCCUGUGCCGGCGGCGUGUCUUUCAAGCGUCCACUUUAUCAACUUGACGGGAGCAUAAUCGACUCCCGUGGUGGUGACGGAUAACGGAGGAUCAGGGUUCGACUCCGGAGAAGGGGCCUGAGAAAUGGCCACUACGUCUAAGGAUGGCAGCAGGCGCGCAAAUUACCCACUCUCGGCUCGAGGAGGUAGUGACGAGAAAUAACGAGAUCGUUCUCUUUGAGGCCGGUCAUCGGAAUGGGUACAAUUUAAACCCUUUAACGAGUAUCAAGCAGAGGGCAAGUCUGGUGCCAGCAGCCGCGGUAAUUCCAGCUCUGCUAAUACAUAGAAUUAUUGCUGCGGUUAAAAAGCUCGUAGUUGGAUUCGUAUCGGUACCCUGGAACCCUCCGGGUGUUUCUGGGUGUUAUCGAUUUAUCGUAAUGUUCGGUUUUGAGUCCUUAACAGGAUUCUUAACAGGCAUUGCAAGUUUACUUUGAACAAAUCAGAGUGCUUCAAACAGGCGUUUUCGCUUGAAUGAUCGUGCAUGGAAUAAUAGAAAACGAUUUCGGUUCAGUUUUAUUGGUUUUACGGACUGAGAUAAUGGUUAACAGAGACAAACGGGGGCAUUUGUAUGGCCCCGUGAGAGGUGAAAUUCUUGGACCGUGGCCAGACAAACUACAGCGAAAGCAUUUGCCAAGAAUGUCUUCAUUAAUCAAGAACGAAAGUCAGAGGUUCGAAGGCGAUCAGAUACCGCCCUAGUUCUGACCGUAAACGAUGCCAACUAGCGAUCCGCCGAUGGAAAUUAUAUUGCCUUGGUGGGGAGCUUCCCGGAAACGAAAGUCUUCCGGUUCCGGGGGAAGUAUGGUUGCAAAGCUGAAACUUAAAGGAAUUGACGGAAGGGCACCACCAGGAGUGGAGCCUGCGGCUUAAUUUGACUCAACACGGGGAAACUCACCCGGCCCGGACACUGUGAGGAUUGACAGAUUGAUAGCUUUUUCAUGAUUCAGUGGAUGGUGGUGCAUGGCCGUUCUUAGUUCGUGGAGUGAUUUGUCUGGUUUAUUCCGAUAACGAGCGAGACUCUAACCUACUAAAUAGUUGGUACAUACUCUUAGUGUAUACAGCUUCUUAGAGGGAUUUGCGGCGUUCAGCCGAAAGAAAUUGAGCAAUAACAGGUCUGUGAUGCCCUUAGAUGUCCGGGGCUGCACGCGCGCUACACUGGCAAAAUCAACGUGCUUGUCCUACCCUGAAAGGGGCGGGUAAACCAUUGAAAAUUUGCCGUGAUUGGGAUCGGAAAUUGCAAUUAUUUUCCGUGAACGAGGAAUUCCAAGUAAGUGCGAGUCAUCAGCUCGCGUUGAUUACGUCCCUGCCCUUUGUACACACCGCCCGUCGCUGCCCGGGACUGAGCCAUUUCGAGAAAUUUGGGGACCGUUGAUUUAAUUUUUCUAAAUUACUUUGAUGGAAACCAAUUUAAUCGCAGUGGCUUGAACCGGGCAAAAGUCGUAACAAGGUAGCUGUAGGUGAACCUGCUGCUG
rnacentral:rRNA from 1 species